rnacentral:ncRNA from 1 species
CCAAGCGUUCAUAGCGACGUCGCUUUUUGAUCCUUCGAUGUCGGCUCUUCCUAUCAUUGUGAAGCAAAAUUCACCAAGCGUUGGAUUGUUCACCCAUGCAAGGGAACGUGAGCUGGGUUUAGACCGUCGUGAGACAGGUUAGUUUUACCCUACUAAUGACAAAACGUUGUUGCGACAGCAUUCCUGCGUAGUACGAGAGGAACCGCAGGUACGGACCAAUGGCACAAUACUUGUUCGAGCGAACAGUGGUAUGACGCUACGUCCGUUGGAUUAUGCCUGAACGCCUCUAAGGUCGUAUCCGUGCUGGACUGCAAUGAUAAAUAAGGGGCAAUUUGCAUUGUAUGGCUUCUAAACCAUUUAAAGUUUAUAAUUUAUUUUAUAAACGACAAUGGAUGUGAUGCCAAUGUAAUUUGUAACAUAGUAAAUUAGGAGGAUCUUCGAUCACCUGAUGCCGCGCUAGUUACAUAUAAAAGCAUUAUUUAAUACAAUGACAAAGCCUAGAAUCAAUUGUAAACGACUUUUGUAACAGGCAAGGUGUUGUAAGUGGUUGAGCAGCUGCCAUACUGCGAUCCACUGAAGCUUAUCCUUUGCUUGAUGAUUCGA